UACAGAGGGUGCAAGCGUUGUUCGGAAUUAUUGGGCGUAAAGGGCGCGUAGGCGGUGUGUCGCGUCGGCCGUGAAAACCUGCAGCUUAACUGUGGGCUUGCGGUCGAUACCGGGCAUCACUGGAGUUCGGCAGGGGAGACUGGAAUUCCUGGUGUAGCGGGUGAAAUCGCGCAGAGUAUCAAGGAGGAACACCGGUGGCGAAGGGC
rnacentral:rRNA from 1 species